rnacentral:lncRNA from 1 species
AACAUGGAUUCUCUCUCUAUAUAUCUGCUCUCUCUUUAUUUCUCUUGCUCUCUACCUGUCUACCUCUCUCCCUACCUCUCUACCUGUCUACCUCUCUCCCUAUCUCUCUACCUCUCUACCUCUCUCUCUACCUCCUCUCUCUACCUCUCUCUCUACCUGUCUACCUCUCUCUCUACCUCUCUACCUCUCUCCCUACCUCUCUACCUGUCUACCUCUCUCCCUACCUCUCUACCUCUCUACCUCUCUCUCUACCUCCUCUCUCUCCCUACCUCUCUACCUGUCUACCUCUCUCCCUACCUCUCUACCUCUCUACCUCUCUCUCUACCUCCUCUCUCUACCUCUCUCUCUACCUGUCUACCUCUCUCUCUACCUCUCUAACUCUCUACCUCUCUCUCUACCUCCUCUCUCUACCUCUCUCUCUACCUCUCUCCCUACCUCUCUACCUCUCUACCUCUCUCUCUACCUCUCUCCCUACCUCUCUACCUCUCUACCUCUCUCUCUACCUCUCUCCCUACCUCUCUACCUGUCUACCUCUCUCUCUACCUCUCUCCCUACCUCUCUACCUCUCUACCUCUCUCUCUACCUCUCUCUCUACCUCUCUACCUCUCUCUCUACCUCUCUCUACCUCUCUCCCUACCUCUCUACCUGUCUACCUCUCUCUCUACCUCUCUCCCUACCUCUCUACCUCUCUACCUCUCUCUCUACCUCCUCUCUCUACCUCUCUACCUCUCUACCUCUCUCUCUACCUCUCUCUACCUCUCUCCCUACCUCUCUACCUCUCUACCCUCUCUCUCUACCUCUCUCUACCUCUCUCCCUACCUCUCUACCUCUCUACCUCUCUCUCUACCUCUCUCUCUACCUCUCUACCUCUCUCUCUACCUCUCUCCCUACCUCUCUACCUCUCUACCUCUCUCUACCUCUCUCCCUACCUCUCUACCUCUCUCCCUACCUCUCUACCUCUCUACCUCUCUCUCUACCUCUCUCCCUACCUCUCUACCUCUCUACCUCUCUCUCUACCUCUCUACCUCUCUCCCUACCUCUCUACCUCUCUCUCUACCUCUCUCUCUACCUCUACCUCCUCUCUCUACCUCUCUCUACCUCUCUACCUCUCUACCUCUCUCUCUACCUCCUCUCUCUACCUCUCUCUCUACCUCUCUCCCUACCUCUCUACCUCUCUACCUCUCUCUCUACCUCCUCUCUCUACCUCUCUCUCUACCUCUCUACCUCUCUCUCUACCUCUCUCCCUACCUCUCUCUACCUCUCUCUCUACCUCUCUCCCUACCUCUCUACCUCUCUACCUCUCUCUCUACCUCCUCUCUCUACCUCUCUACCUCUCUCUCUACCUCUCUCUCUACCUCUCUCUCUACCUCUCUCCCUACCUCUCUACCUCUCUACCUCUCUCCCUACCUCUCUACCUCUCUACCUCUCUCUCUACCUCCUCUCUCUACCUCUCUACCUCUCUCUACCUCUCUACCUCUCUCUCUAACUCUCUCCCUACCUCUCUACCUCUCUCUCUACCUCUCUCUCUACCUCUCUCCCUACCUCUCUACCUCUCUACCUCUCUCUCUACCUCCUCUCUCUACCUCUCUCCCUCUACCUCUCUCCCUACCUCUCUACCUCUCUCUCUACCUCUCUACCUCUCUACCUCUCUCUACCUCUCUCCCUACCUCUCUACCUCUCUCUCUACCUCCUCUCUCUACCUCUCUACCUCUCUCUCUACCUCUCUCCCUACCUCUCUACCUCUCUCUCUACUCUCUCUCUACCUCCUCUCUCUACCUCUCUACCUCUCUCUCUACCUCUCUCCCUCCUCUCUCUACCUCUCUCUACCUCUUUCUCUACCUCUCUCUACCUCUCUCUCUACCUCUCUCCCUACCUCUCUACCUCUCUACCUCUCUACCUCUCUACCUCUCUACCUCUCUACCUCUCUACCUCUCUACCUCUCUACCUCUCUACCUCUCUCUCUACCUCUACCUCCUCUCUCUACCUCUCUCUACCUCUCUCUACCUCUCUCUCUACCUCUACCUCCUCUCUCUACCUCUCUCUCUACCUCUCUCCCUACCUCUCUACCUCUCUCCUCUCUCUCUACCUCCUCUCUCUACCUCUCUCCCUACCUCUCUACCUCUCUCUCUACCUCUCUCUCUACCUCUCUCCCUACCUCUCUACCUCUCUACCUCUCUACCUCUCUACCUCUCUACCUCUCUCUCUACCUCUACCUCCUCUCUCUACCUCUCUCUACCUCUCUACCUCUCUACCUCUCUCUCUACCUCUACCUCCUCUCUCUACCUCUCUCUACCUCUCUCCCUACCUCUCUACCUCUCUACCUCUCUCUCUACCUCUCUCUCUACCUCUACCUCCUCUCUCUACCUCUCUCUACCUCUCUCUCUACCUCUCUACCUCUCUACCUCUCUCUCUACCUCUCUCUCUACCUCUACCUCCUCUCUCUACCUCUCAAUACCUCUCUCUCUACCUCUCUCUAACUCUCUCUACCUCUCCCUCUACCUCUCCCUACCUCUCUCUACCUCUCUCUACCUCUCUCUACCUCUACCUCUCUCUCGCUCUACCUCUCUCUACCUCUACCUCUCUCUAGCUUUCUCUCUACCUCUCUACCUCUCUCUCUACCUCUUCCUCUCUACCUCUCUCUAUCUCUCUCUCUACCUCUCUCUCUACCUCUCUCUACCUCUCUCUCUACCUCUCUCUACCUCUCUCUACCUCUACCUCUCUCUACCUCUCCCUCUACCUCUCUCGCUACCUCUACCUCUCUCUCUACCUCUCUCUACCUCUCUCUCUACCUCUCUCUACCUCUACCUCUCCCUCUACCUCUCUCGCUACCUCUCUCUCUACCUCUCUCUACCUCUCUCUACCUCUCUCUCUCCCUCUCUCUACCUCUCUCUCUACCUCUACCUCUCUCUACCUCUCUCUACCUCUACCUCUCCCUCUACCUCUCUCGCUACCUCUACCUCUCUCUCUACCUCUCUCUACCUCUCUCUCUACCUCUCUCUACCUCUACCUCUCCCUCUACCUCUCUCGCUACCUCUCUCUCUACCUCUCUCUACCUCUCUCUACCUCUACCUCUCCCUCUACCUCUCUCGCUACCUCUACCUCUCUCUCUACCUCUCUCUACCUCUCUCUCUACCUCUCUCUACCUCUACCUCUCCCUCUACCUCUCUCGCUACCUCUCUCGCUACCUCUCUCUCUACCUCUCUCUACCUCUCUUUACCUCUCUCUACCUCUCUCUCUACCUCUCUCUACCUCUACCUUUCUCUACCUCUCUCUACAUCUCUCUACCUCGCUCUAUCUCUCUCUACCUCUCUCUACAUCUCUCUCUACCUCUCUCUCUACCUCUCUCUCUCUCUACCUUUCUCUACCUCCCUCUACCUCUCUAUCUCUAUCUCGCUACCUCUCUCUCUACCUCUCUCUCUCUCUACCUUUCUCUACCUCCCUCUACCUCUCUAUCUCUAUCUCGCUACCUCUCUCUCUACCGCUCUCUACCUCUCUAUACCUCUACCUCUCCCUCUACCUCUCUCGCUACCUCUACCUCUCUCUACCUCUCUCUCUACCUCUUUCUACCCUCUCUUUCUACCUCUCUCAACCUCUACCUCUCUCUACCUCUCUCUCUACCUCUCUCGCUACCUCUCUCUACCUCUCUCUACCUCUCUCUACCUCUCUCUACCUCUCUCUCUACCUCUCUCUCUACCUCUCUCUACCUCUCUCUCUACCUCUACCUCUCUCUACCUCUCUCUACCUCUCUCUCUACCUCUCUCUACCUCUACCUCUCUCUUCCUCUACCUCUCUAUCUCUAUCUCGCUACCUCUCUCUCUACCUCUCUCUCUCUACCUUUCUCUACCUCCCUCUACCUCUCUAUCUCUAUCUCGCUACCUCUCUCUCUACCGCUCUCUACCUCUCUAUACCUCUACCUCUCCCUCUACCUCUCUCGCUACCUCUACCUCUCUCUACCUCUCUCUCUACCUCUUUCUACCUCUCUUUCUACCUCUCUCAACCUCUACCUCUCUCUACCUCUCUCUCUACCUCUCUCGCUACCUCUCUCUACCUCUCUCUACCUCUCUCUACCUCUCUCUACCUCUCUCUACCUCUCUCUCUACCUCUCUCUCUACCUCUCUCUACCUCUCUCUCUACCUCUACCUCUCUCUACCUCUCUCUACCUCUCUCUCUACCUCUCUCUACCUCUACCUCUCUCUUCCUCUACCUCUCUAUACCUCUACUUCUCCCUCUACCUCUCUCGCUACCUCUACCUCUCUCUCUAUCUCUCUCUACCUCUCUCUCUCUACCUCUCUCUACCUCUACCUCUCCCUCUACCUCUCUCGCUACCUCUCUCUCUACCUCUCUCUCUACCUCUCUCUACCUCUCUCUACCUCUCUCUCUACCUCUCUCUCUACCUCUCUCUCUACCUCUCUCUACCUCUCUCUACCUCUCCCUCUACCUCUCUCGCUACCUCUACCUCUCUCUCUACCUCUCUCUACCUCUCUCUCUACCUAUCUCUACCUCUACCUCUCCCUCUACCUCUCUCGCUACCUCUCUCUCUACCUCUACCUCUACCUUUCUCUACCUCUCUCUACAUCUCUCUACCUCGCUCUAUCUCUCUCUACCUCUCUCUCUACUUCUACCUCUCUCUCUACUCUACCUCUCUCUCUACCUUUCUCUACCUCCCUCUACCUCUCUCUCUCUAUCUCGCUACCUCUCUCUCUACCGCUCUCUACCUCUACCUCUCUAUACCUCUACCUCUCCCUCUACCUCUCUCGCUACCUCUCUCUCUACCUCUUUCUACCUCUCUUUCUACCUCUCUCAACCUCUACCUCUCUCUCUACCUCUCUCUCUACCUCUCUCUACCUCUACCUCUCCCUCUACCUCUCUCGCUACCUCUCUCUCUACCUCUCUCUACCUCUCUCUCUACCUCUCUCUCUACCUCUCUCUACCUCUCUCUCUACCUCUCUCUACCUCUCUCUCUACCUCUACCUCUCUCUACCUCUCUCUCUACCUCUCUCUACCUCUACCUCUCCCUCUACCUCUCUCGCUACCUCUCUCUCUACCUCUCUCUCUACCUCUCUCUACCUCUCUCUACCUCUCCCUCUACCUCUCUCGCUACCUCUACCUCUCUCUCUACCUCUCUCUACCUCUCUCUCUACCUAUCUCUACCUCUACCUCUCCCUCUACCUCUCUCGCUACCUCUCUCUCUACCUCUACCUCUACCUUUCUCUACCUCUCUCUACAUCUCUCUACCUCGCUCUAUCUCUCUCUACCUCUCUCUCUACUUCUACCUCUCUCUCUACUUCUACCUCUCUCUCUACCUUUCUCUACCUCCCUCUACCUCUCUCUCUCUAUCUCGCUACCUCUCUCUCUACCGCUCUCUACCUCUACCUCUCUAUACCUCUACCUCUCCCUCUACCUCUCUCGCUACCUCUCUCUCUACCUCUUUCUACCUCUCUUUCUACCUCUCUCAACCUCUACCUCUCUCUCUACCUCUCUCUCUACCUCUCUCUACCUCUACCUCUCCCUCUACCUCUCUCGCUACCUCUCUCUCUACCUCUCUCUACCUCUCUCUCUACCUCUCUCUCUACCUCUCUCUACCUCUCUCUCUACCUCUCUCUACCUCUCUCUCUACCUCUACCUCUCUCUACCUCUCUCUCUACCUCUCUCUACCUCUACCUCUCCCUCUACCUCUCUCGCUACCUCUCUCUCUACCUCUCUCUACCUCUCCCUCUACCUCUCUCUACCUCUCUCUCUACCUCUCUCUACCUCUCUCUACCUCUCUCUCUACCUCUCUCUACCUCUACCUUUCUUUACCUCUCUCUACAUCUCUCUACCUCGCUCUAUCUCUCUCUACCUCUCUCUACAUCUCUCUACCUCUCUCUACCUUUCUCUCUACUUCUACCUCUCUCUCUACCUCUCUCUACCUCUCUCUACCUCUCUCUACCUCUCUCUACCUCUCUCUCUACCUCUCUCUCUACCUCUCUCUCUCUCUACCUUUCUCUACCUCCCUCUACCUCUCUCUCUCUAUCUCGCUACCUCUCUCUCUACCGCUCUCUACCUCUACCUCUUUAUACCUCUACCUCUCCCUCUACCUCUCUCGCUACCUCUACCUCUCUCUACCUCUCUCUCUACCUCUUUCUACCUCUCUUUCUACCUCUCUCAACCUCUACCUCUCUCUACCUCUCUCUCUACCUCUUUCUACCUCCCUCUACUUCUCUCUCUACCUCUCUCUACCGCUCUCUCUACCUCUCUCUACCUCUCUCUCUACCUCUCUCGCUCUCUCCCUCUUUCUAUUGGUCUGUGUGUCUCUCUCUGUGUCUGCUCUCUCUCCCUCUUACUCUCUGUCUUUCUUUUCUCUCUGCUGUCCCUCACUCUCUGUUCAGCCAAACCCACUGGUUGCUAAGCGCUGGCUGAAGGCAUGGCUGGAUGGCCGGAGGGAGAGGGGCG